UGGGGGAUAUUGCACAAUGGGCGAAAGCCUGAUGCAGCGACGCCGCGUGGGGGAUGAAGGCCUUCGGGUUGUAAACUUCUUUUGCUCUGAACAAGGCGCACCAUGGGGUGUGUUGAGUGUAGGGGUUGAUUAGCGCCGGCUAACUACGUGCCAGCAGCCGCGGUAAUACGUAGGGCGCGAGCGUUGUCCGGAAUUAUUGGGCGUAAAGGGCUUGUAGGUGGCUGGUUGCGUCUGUCGUGAAAGCUCAUGGCUUAACUGUGGGUUUGCGGUGGGUACGGGCUGGCUUGGGUGCAGUAGGGGGGGCUGGAAUUCCUGGUGUAGCGGAGGAAUGCGGAGAUAUCAGGAGGAAUACCGGUGGCGAAGGCGGGUCGCUGGGCUGUUACUGACACUGGGGAGCGAAAGCAUGGGGAGCGAACAGG
rnacentral:rRNA from 1 species